rnacentral:lncRNA from 1 species
AAAAAAAAAGAACGAACGAAAAAAAUAAGAGGAAGAGGACACGGCGUUACCCUCUUUACUGUUGUAAAGAGCCGAAGAGGCGAUGUAGGAGGGUUGGAAAGAAAAAAAAAAGGAAAUGGCGCGGCCUUGACGGGGUCGGAGGUGAGGAAUGCGGGGGGUGUGCGGGCGAGGGUGAGAAUGCGCCGGACAGAGACGAGGCGGUCGCUUGCGCUUCCGCCUCCGCUACCCUCUGGAGAGAGAAAGAAAAAAAAGAGAGAGAGAGAAAAAAAAGAAAAAAAAUAUUUUGGUCAAUUUAUUAAAAAUUUGGUCUAAAUUUGUAAAAUUUAAAAAUACCAUCUACUUUUGGAAAUUUUCAAAAUUAAUAGAUUUUUUUAUGCAAAUUGGCCUAAAGGACUUUUUUCGAAAAUAACCCUCUGAAAUUUUAUAAUUGGCAAAAUAACCCUCUGAAAAUUUUAUUUGUGAAACUAACCCUCCUCUCGCUACCUCAGCCGCCACCUCAGCAUUUCUCAUAAAGACGGUGACUUGUUCACCGUCUCCUGAAGACAGUAAAUCGGUAAAUCGUUAACCGUCUUCUCGGGCGUGGACCCCUCGCAUUCUCAGCAAUUCCCCGCGUAUCAGCGCCUACGCAGCAAUUUCAACAGAAGGCGGUGACUCGUUUACCAUCUUAACAAAGACGGUGAAUCGUCCACCGCCUUAUCUAAGCGUACACCAUUCGCCGCAUUCGCCGCCUUCUCAGUGUUGCCACCCCUCGCCUUCUCAGCAAUUCCCCGCGUAUCAGUGCCCACGCAGCAAUUCAACAGAAGACGGUGACUCGUUUACCGUCUUUAACAAAGACGGUGAAUCCGAUCGACAGCGAGGGGCGUAAAUAAGACGGUGAAUCGUUCACCGUCUUAGUUAAGACGGUUAAUGGUUUACCG